rnacentral:rRNA from 1 species
UGCCAGCCGCCGCGGUAAUACGGAGGGUGCAAGCGUUAAUCGGAAUUACUGGGCGUAAAGCGCGCGUAGGUUGAUUGGUCAGUCAGAUGUGAAAGCCCCGGGCUCAACCUGGGAUGGUCAUUUAGAACUGGCAGACUAGAGUUUUGGAGAGGGGGGUGGAAUUCCAGGUGUAGCGGUGAAAUGCGUAGAUAUCUGGAGGAACAUCAGUGGCGAAGGCGGCUCCCUGGCCAAAGACUGACGCUCAUGUGCGAAAGUGUGGGUAGCGAACAGGAUUAGAUA